UCUUGGUCAUUUAGAGGAAGUAAAAGUCGUAACAAGGUCUCCGUUGGUGAACCAGCGGAGGGAUCAUUACCGAGUUUACAACUCCCAAACCCUUAUGUGAACCGUACCUAUCGUUGCUUCGGCGGGAACGCCCCGGCGCCCUGCGCCCGGAUCCAGGCGCCCGCCGGAGACCCCAAACUCUUGUGUUUUUUUCAGUAUUCUCUGAGUGGCAAACGCAAAAAUAAAUCAAAACUUUUAACAACGGAUCUCUUGGCUCUGGCAUCGAUGAAGAACGCAGCGAAAUGCGAUAAGUAAUGUGAAUUGCAGAAUUCAGUGAAUCAUCGAAUCUUUGAACGCACAUUGCGCCCGUUAGCAUUCUAGCGGGCAUGCCUGUCCGAGCGUCAUUUCAACCCUCAGGGUCCCCGUUCCGGCGGGGAACCUGGUGUUGGGGGAUCGGCCCGCCCCGUGCGGCGCCGUCCCCCAAAUUCAGUGGCGGUCUCGCUGCAGCCUCCCCUGCGUAGUAGUUACAACCUCGCAUCGGAGCUCAGCGCGGCCACGCCGUAAAACCCCCGACUUUCUGAACGUUGACCUCGGAUCAGGUAGGAAUACCCGCUGAACUUAAGCAUAUCAAUAAGCGGAGGA
rnacentral:rRNA from 1 species